rnacentral:rRNA from 1 species
UACGUAGGGACCGAGCGUUGUCCGGAAUCAUUGGGCGUAAAGAGCGUGUAGGCGGCCUUUUAAGUCCUGCGUGAAAUCCUGCGGCUCAACCGCAGACGGUCGUGGGAAACUGGAAGGCUAGAGUGCGGGAGAGGAGAGUGGAAUUCCCGGUGUAGCGGUGAAAUGCGCAGAUAUCGGGAGGAACACCAAUGGCGAAGGCAGCUCGCUGGGACGGUACUGACGCUGAGACGGCGAAAAGCGUGGGGGAGCAAACAGGG